rnacentral:tRNA from 1 species
GCCGAAGUGGUGGAAUGGUAGACACGAAGGAUUCAAAAUCCUUUGCUGAUAAGGCGUGAGGGUUCGAGUCCCUCCUUCGGUA